AGUGGCGGACGGGUGAGUAACGCGUAAGAAUCUAACUUCAGGACGGGGACAACAGUUGGAAACGACUGCUAAUACCCGAUGUGCCGCAAGGUGAAACCUAAUUGGCCUGGAGAAGAGCUUGCGUCUGAUUAGCUAGUUGGUGGGGUAAAGGCCUACCAAGGCGACGAUCAGUAGCUGGUCUGAGAGGAUGAGCAGCCACACUGGGACUGAGACACGGCCCAGACUCCUACGGGAGGCAGCAGUGGGGAAUUUUCCGCAAUGGCGAAAGCCUGACGGAGCAACGCCGCGUGAGGGAGGAAGGUCUUUGGAUUGUAAACCUCUUUUCUCAAGGAAGAAGUUCUGACGGUACUUGAGGAAUCAGCCUCGGCUAACUCCGUGCCAGCAGCCGCGGUAAUACGGGGGAGGCAAGCGUUAUCCGGAAUUAUUGGGCGUAAAGCGUCCGCAGGUGGUCAGCCAAGUCUGCCGUCAAAUCAGGUUGCUUAACGACCUAAAGGCGGUGGAAACUGGCAGACUAGAGAGCAGUAGGGGUAGCAGGAAUUCCCAGUGUAGCGGUGAAAUGCGUAGAGAUUGGGAAGAACAUCGGUGGCGAAAGCGUGCUACUGGGCUGUAUCUGACACUCAGGGACGAAAGCUAGGGGAGCGAAAGGGAUUAGAUACCCCUGUAGUCCUAGCCGUAAACGAUGGAUACUAGGCGUGGCUUG
rnacentral:rRNA from 1 species